AGUGAACGCUGGCGGCGUGCUUAACACAUGCAAGUCGAACGAGAACGGAUUAUAGCUUGCUAUAAUUGUCAGCUAAGUGGCGCACGGGUGAGUAAUAUAUAGGUAACGUGCCCUAGAGAAGAGGAUAACAGUUGGAAACGAUUGCUAAGACUCUAUAUGCCUUUAAGACUUAAGUCUGCAAGGGAAAUAUUUAUAGCUCUAGGAUCGGCCUGUACAGUAUCAGUUAGUUGGUGAGGUAAUGGCUCACCAAGACAAUGACGCUUAACUGGUUUGAGAGGAUGAUCAGUCACACUGGAACUGAGACACGGUCCAGACUCCUACGGGAGGCAGCAGUGGGGAAUAUUGCACAAUGGACGAAAGUCUGAUGCAGCAACGCCGCGUGGAGGAUGACACAUUUCGGUGCGUAAACUCCUUUUAUAUGGGAAGAUAAUGACGGUACCAUAUGAAUAAGCACGGCUAACUCCGUGCCAG
rnacentral:rRNA from 1 species